AACGAACGCUGGCGGCAUGCCUAAUACAUGCAAGUCGAACGAGAAAGCUCUUCGGAGUGAGUAGAGUGGCGCACGGGUGAGUAAUGGAUAGGAACGUACCCUUAGGUUUGGAAUAACCACGGGAAACUGUGGCUAAUACCGUAUAGACUCGCAAGAGUAAAGGUGGGGCAACCUACCGCCCAAGGAUCGGCCUAUCUCCCAUUAGCUUGUUGGUAGGGUAAUGGCCUACCAAGGCGACGAUCCGUAGCUGGUCUGAGAGGAUGACCAGCCACACUGGGACUGAGACACGGCCCAGACUCCUACGGGAGGCAGCAGUGGGGAAUAUUGGACAAUGGGGGCAACCCUGAUCCAGCCAUGCCGCGUGUGUGAAGAAGGCCUUCGGGUUGUAAAGCACUUUCAGUGGGGAAGAAAAGCCUAAGGAUAAUACCCUUGGGUCUUGACGGUACCUACAGAAGAAGCACCGGCUAAUUCCGUG
rnacentral:rRNA from 1 species